CAGUCGCCACGGGAAAACGGAGGGAGCUAGCGUUGUUCGGAAUUACUGGGCGUAAAGCGCACGUAGGCGGUUAUUCAAGUCAGAGGUGAAAGCCCGGGGCUCAACCCCGGAACUGCCUUUGAAACUAGAUGACUAGAAUCUUGGAGAGGUCGGUGGAAUUCCGAGUGUAGAGGUGAAAUUCGUAGAUAUUCGGAAGAACACCAGUGGCGAAGGCGACUGACUGGACAAGUAUUGACGCUGAGGUGCGAAAGCGUGGGGGGCAAACAGGACUAGAGACCCCAGUAGUCCCUGUCUCUUAUAA
rnacentral:rRNA from 1 species